rnacentral:lncRNA from 10 species
CAAAAAUUAGCCGGGCAUGGUGGCGGGUGCCUGUAAUCCCAGCUGCUUGGGAGGCUAAGGCAGGAGAAUCGCUUGAACCCAGGAGGUGGAGGUUGCAGUGAGCCGAGACCAUGCCAUUGCACUCCAGUCUGGACAACAAGAGCGAAACUCCAUCUCAAAUCAGUCAAUCAAUCCGCAACUAGGGCUAGUGCAAGAUAUGGAAAAUGAAGCUGACAGAGGUGAUGUUGUGUCCGGAAUUGGUGGGUUCUUGGUCUCACUGACUUCAAGAAU